UACGUAGGGUGCAAGCGUUAAUCGGAAUUACUGGGCGUAAAGCGUGCGCAGGCGGUUUUUGUAAGUCAGAUGUGAAAUCCCCCGGGCUUAACCUGGGAACUGCGUUUGAAACUACAAGGCUAGAGUGUGACAGAGGGGGGGUGGAAUUCCACGUGUAGCAGUGAAAUGCGUAGAGAUGUGGAGGAACACGAUGGCGAAGGCAGUGGUCCUGGGGAGUACCUGACGCUCAGGUGCGAAAGCCAGGGGAGCGAACGGG
rnacentral:rRNA from 1 species